GUUAUGGCUCAGUGGUGUGGUAGAGUGCUUGCCUAGCAUGUGUGAGGUACUGGGUUCAAACCUCAGCAUCACA
rnacentral:tRNA from 1 species